CAGCAGCCGCGGGAAUACGAAGGGGGCUAGCGUUGUUCGGAUUUACUGGGCGUAAAGGGCGCGUAGGCGGACUGAUAAGUCAGGGGUGAAAUCCCAAGGCUCAACCUUGGAACUGCCUUUGAUACUGUUUGUCUUGAGUUCGAGAGAGGUAAGUGGAACUGCGAGUGUAGAGGUGAAAUUCGUAGAUAUUCGCAAGAACACCAGUGGCGAAGGCGGCUUACUGGCUCGAAACUGACGCUGAGGCGCGAAAGCGUGGGGAGCAAACAGGAUUAGAUACCCCAGUAGUCCCUGUCUCUUAUAC
rnacentral:rRNA from 1 species